UACAGAGGUGGCAAGCGUUGUUCGGAAUUACUGGGCGUAAAGGGCGCGUAGGCGGUCCGAUAAGUCCCGUGUGAAAGCCCCCGGCUCAACUGGGGAACUGCACGGGAAACUGACGGACUUGAGUUCGGGAGAGGGAAGCGGAAUUCCGGGUGUAGCGGUGAAAUGCGCAGAUAUCAGGAGGAACACCGGUGGCGAAGGCGGGUCUCUGGGCCGAUACUGACGCUGAGGAGCGAAAGCGUGGGGAGCGAACAGG
rnacentral:rRNA from 1 species